GCUGAGUAUUCCACCCGCCUUGCUCUAAUAUAAUAUUUUCUUGCAGGUAUUAUUAUUGUGCACAGUUUUUAGAUGAAGAAAUGAAAUCUUGGAGAAGUUGCUACUGGCACAGGCUCAUUCUAAUGUAAGUGAUCAAGUGGGUCUGAUUUCACUCCAUUUUUCUCCGCAUCCUAAGGCCAGAAUUAGAAGUAACAUGUUCUAUGGAGGAAGACUGAAGCCCAGUGUCAAGAGCACCUUGGAGGAGGCUGCCCUGGGAGGAAAAAACUGCAGAACUGUUAUUCUCCGGAGCAUCUGAAAUCUUGCUUCCCAGCCACUGUCAUCAGGGAGCCACUGGAGGCAAAUACUGGAUUUUCCCACAUUUCAGAACCUCAUGCCCGCCCCCAUCCCAGGGGCAGGCUGUUCCAGUCUUCUCCCACCUGGCUCCCGGGUGCUGGUUGGCUCAAGACUGGCCUCGCCCAGCAGGGAAAUCCAUUCAAACAUCAAUUCUUGUGGUUUUCCCCUCUUGGGCUAUUCCUUUCUCCUUUCUUUUAUUUCAGCAGGUAGCAAAGCUCUGGGUUUCCUGGCUUCAGGGGAGGUUUGCGGCAGGACAGAAAGCAAUUCUCCAUUGCUUUCAGAUUUUCCUUCCCUGCCUUUGUUCCCAAAGCCUGAGGCCAUUGAAAAAGUAUGCUGGGUGUUGUGUAUGUAUGUGUGUGUGUGUGGAGGGGGGGCGGGGCGGAGGAGGGUGCGAGGAGAAGGAGAGGCCUUUGGGAAUGAGGGGUGAAGGGGUGGGGUCAAGCCGUCUGUGGGUUCCAUGAGCAACAGAGAACAGUUUACCUCGAGGGGGCAGGCUGCAGGCUAACCUGGGGAGGCUGGGCUCCCUUGUCCUCAGCUACACCGAACUCCUACCUCCAAGCUUGUUGAGGGGGACCACGUGGGACAGGAUGGACUUAUGCUGCAUUUCU